rnacentral:lncRNA from 1 species
CACAUAUUCCUGCUGGCUCCUGACCAGCAUCUCUCCAAGUAGAGCUGUCAGGAUUAAUUACUUAGAUUUUUGCAUAAGAUGACAAAAUAAGAAGCCUCUGUGAGUGCCAAGUGUUAUCAGUUUUCAUCACAACUUGGGUAUUUGGUGGAAUAGCUCAUAGAUUAGACAUUUUCAGGAAAUCUAAAUCUUGUUAACCUUUCUUGCUCUCCGACUUUCUUUUAUUCCACUAAAGUUCAAUGAAUUGUGAUUAUUUAUUGCUACUUUUAUUUUUUUUUAACUUAUCACCUUCCUUCUAUCUUGAAGAUUGUUCUGGCCUUUUUGUUCUAUGUGCUUUAGGUUAAAGGUAAUGCUCCACUGUAUAUGUAAAUAGAAAUCUGUUAGGAUAAAUAGGAACAGUAAAAUGAAGCUGUAGGGAAAAUCUUAGACAUUGUCUUGAUUAUUAUUCACAGACUAAUUUUUCCCUUCAGAAUGGAGCUCUUUCCCCUUACCAACCCCAGAUGCAGCAUCUUGUAGAGGGGAAAGGUUGAUGCCCUAUAAACAUCUUCAAGAAAAAUGGUUACAACCCAUAGGACAUGCCCCCUUCAUUCACCAAUGUAUAGUAAGUACUUUCUAAGAAACACUUUCUAUUUUCUUAAUAACACAAGUUUGUUAAGCUUUGCAAAGAUCUGCAUCGGUGCUAGUGAUGCAAAAAUAAGUGUAUUAGUUGGCUUUCAGCCACUAUAAUGAAUACUUAAGAUAAUUAGCUUAUAAAGAGAAAAGGUUUAUUUUGGAUUACAAUUUUGGAGAUUUCAGUACCUGAUUGGUUGGCCCUGUUCAAUGAGGCCUAUGGCAAAGUAUUACAGCAUGGUGGAGCAGUACUCUUCAACGCAUGGCCAGGAAGUGAAAACAGAGGAAUAGACCAGGGUCCCACAAUUCCUGUUGAGGGCACGUCCUCAGUGACCUGAAGAUUUCCCACUAAGGCUCAUCUCUUAAAUGUUUCACCCCUUCACAAUAGCUUUACCACAUGGGCCUUUGAAGGACAAUCAAGAUUUCAACUAUGGCAAUGACUAUGAUAGAUUCUUGGUUUGAACUGGCCCAAAUCCAAAUAGGAAGAUAAAU